rnacentral:rRNA from 1 species
CGUACACUCCUACGGGAGGCAGCAGUGGGGAAUAUUGGACAAUGGGCGCAAGCCUGAUCCAGCCAUGCCGCGUGAGUGAUGAAGGCCCUAGGGUUGUAAAGCUCUUUCACCGGUGAAGAUAAUGACGGUAACCGGAGAAGAAGCCCCGGCUAACUUCGUGCCAGCAGCCGCGGUAAUACGAAGGGGGCUAGCGUUGUUCGGAUUUACUGGGCGUAAAGCGCACGUAGGCGGACUAUUAAGUCAGGGGUGAAAUCCCGGGGCUCAACCCCGGAACUGCCUUUGAUACUGGUAGUCUUGAGUUCGAGAGAGGUAAGUGGAAUUCCGAGUGUAGAGGUGAAAUUCGUAGAUAUUCGGAGGAACACCAGUGGCGAAGGCGGCUCACUGGCUCGAUACUGACGCUGAGGUGCGAAAGCGUGGGGAGCAAACAGGAUUAGAAACCCGAGUAGUCC